UUCAGAUACAGUCUCAGGAUAUCUUGACUGUUUCCUGUGGAUUCACAGAGCAGCUGAAAGAGUGAAUUCUGAAGAUCUUGUCCUCUCUUUAUAUGUAGUCUGAGGGACCUGGAGUCUGACUCUUCGUUCAGCUGUCCCUUGCAAUCCUAUUGAUCUGGACCACAUUCUAAUGCCCUGUGUUGUGCCAAAUGAGGAGAGAACCAGUUGCAUAUGCCAUGCUUUGCAGGAGGGGAUAAAACCUAUGCAAAGCAGUAGGAAUGGGUCUUUUCACAUGUUUCAGAAGAUGCCUAUUAGGAUGACAGCACAGACAAAACAAGCAAACUUACAAAGGAUGCCUUUACAGAAGAGGGAGGAGAACGGAACAAAUCCUUCAGAACAAACUGUAUUUCUAGUACACAACUAUGCAUCCUUUCACCAAGAUUUCCUCCAUUUAAAUAAGAUUAUGAAAAUAUUUUCCCAUCCCCUGCAUAUAAUGUCAAAUUUAAAUUACUCUUCUUACUCACUAGUAUUUCUCAUGAACUUCUCAUCUGGUUGCAUUUAGAGUAUCUGGUUUUUUCACGCCACUGCCUUCCCCCAUCCCUCCAUUUCAAUAAAACCUGUUAACGCACUUGAGAGUCAAACAUGAACAAAAAAUCUCCUAUUCCUUCCAAAGUAUGGCAUUCAUGAAGAUGACAUAAAUAAAUAAACAUUCUCUAGUGUUCUGUUUCUUUUGUCUAGCUUAUUGGUGUUGAGAAACCCUCUUCUUCA